rnacentral:tRNA from 1 species
GCCUCUGUGGCGGAACUGGUAGACGCGGCAGACUCAAAAUCUGCUGACUGUAGAGUCGUGGGAGUUCGAGUCUCUCCAGAGGCACCA